GUCGGAUAAUCGCGGCUGCAAGCGUCGAAAGACCGCAGGUGAGGAAAGUCCGGGCUUCCAAGGGCAGGAUGCCGGGUAACGCCCGGCGGGGGUGACCCCAGGACCAGUGCAACAGAAAUAAACCGCCGGUAUGGCCUCAGGGCUGUAACCGGUAAGGGUGGAAAGGCGGGGUAAGAGCCCACCGCCUUCCUGGUAACAGGAAGGGCACAUGUAAACUCCAUUCGGAAGCAAGACCGCAUAUAAAACGAUACGUCGGCCCGGCGUGUUUUAGGGUAGGUCGCUUGAGCCUGCUGGCAACGGCAGGCCUAGAUAGAUGAUUAUCAUAACAUAACCCGGCUUACGGACAUACUUU
rnacentral:RNase_P_RNA from 1 species